GACGAACGCUGGCGGCGUGCUUAACACAUGCAAGUCGAACGGAAAGGCCCUGCUUUUGUGGGGUGCUCGAUUGGCGAACGGGUGAGUAACACGUGGGUAACCUGCCCUUGACUUUGGGAUAACUUCAGGAAACUGGGGCUAAUACCGGAUAGGAGCUCCUGCUGCAUGGUGGGGGUUGGAAAGUUUCGGCGGGUGGGGAUGGACUCGCGGCUUAUCAGCUUGUUGGUGGGGUAGUGGCUUACCAAGGCUUUGACGGGUAGCCGGCCUGAGAGGGUGACCGGCCACAUUGGGACUGAGAUACGGCCCAGACUCCUACGGGAGGCAGCAGUGGGGAAUAUUGCACAAUGGGCGGAAGCCUGAUGCAGCAACGCCGCGUGCGGGAUGACGGCCUUUGGGUUGUAAACCGCUUUCGCCUGUGACGAAGCGUGAGUGACGGUAAUGGGUAAAGAAGCACCGGCUAACUACGUG
rnacentral:rRNA from 1 species